rfam:Otolemur garnettii contig182408, whole genome shotgun sequence.
GCCGUGUGCUAAUAGUCCCAGCUUCUCUGGAGGCUGAGGUGAGAGGAUCACUUGAGCCCAGGCACUCCAGGCUGUGGUGUGCUAUGCCAGUCAGCCGUCCACACUAAGUUCAGCAUUAGUAAAGUGACUUCCAGAGAGCAGGGGACACCAGAUUGCCUGCUGGGGUGGACCCACCAAAGUUGAAAACCAAGCAGGUCAAAUCUCCUGUGCUGGUUAGUCGUGCAGUCUCACCUGUGAGUGACCUCUGUACUUCAGCCUGGAGGCAAUAUAGUGGGACCUCCAUCUCA